AGGACGAAAGUCUGACGGAGUCACGCCGCGUGAGUGAUGAAGGUUUUCGGAUCGUAAAGUUCUGUUGUCAGGGAAGAACAAGUGCCGUGCGAAUAGAGCGGCACCUUGACGGUACCUGACGAGGAAGCCCCGGCUAACUACGUGCCAGCAGCCGCGGUAAUACGUAGGGGGCAAGCGUUGUCCGGAAUUAUUGGGCGUAAAGCGCGCGCAGGCGGUUCCUUAAGUCUGAUGUGAAAGCCCACGGCUCAACCGUGGAGGGUCAUUGGAAACUGGGGAACUUGAGUGCAGAAGAGGAGAGUGGAAUUCCACGUGUAGCGGUGAAAUGCGUAGAUAUGUGGAGGAACACCAGUGGCGAAGGCGACUCUCUGGUCUGUAACUGACGCUGAGGCGCGAAAGCGUGGGGAGCAAACAGGAUUAGAUACCCUGGUAGUCCACGCCGUAAACGAUGAGUGCUAGGUGUUAGGGGGCUUCCACCCCUUAGUGCUGAAGUUAACGCAUUAAGCAC
rnacentral:rRNA from 1 species